GAGUUUGAUCCUGGCUCAGAUUGAACGCUGGCGGCAUGCCUUACACAUGCAAGUCGAACGGCAGCAUGAUCUAGCUUGCUAGAUUGAUGGCGAGUGGCGAACGGGUGAGUAAUACAUCGGAACGUGCCCUGUAGUGGGGGAUAACUAGUCGAAAGAUUAGCUAAUACCGCAUACGACCUGAGGGUGAAAGUGGGGGACCGCAAGGCCUCAUGCUAUAGGAGCGGCCGAUGUCUGAUUAGCUAGUUGGUGGGUAAAGGCCCACCAAGGCGACGAUCAGUAGCUGGUCUGAGAGGACGAUCAGCCACACUGGGACUGAGACACGGCCCAGACUCCUACGGGAGGCAGCAGUGGGGAAUUUUGGACAAUGGGCGAAAGCCUGAUCCAGCAAUGCCGCGUGUGUGAAGAAGGCCUCGG
rnacentral:rRNA from 1 species